AAUCACAUAAACGACAAUGUAAUGCAAUGU
rnacentral:guide_RNA from 1 species